GCCUUUAAAUACCACUCCUGGAGGCGGCACAGCAGCAGGGCAGAGCCGGCAGAGCUUCGAUGAAAGCAAAGACAAGCUCCAGCACUGCAGCCAUGUCCACAUCCCUGCGGGUGAGCCCCUCGGUCCAUGGGUACCGCUUCGACACCGCGCUGCGCAAGAAAGCCGCGGCCAACAUCUUCGAGAGCAUCAACGAGGCGUCCCUGCAGAAACUCUUCAAAAACUCCGGCGACAAAAAGGCGGAGGAGAGAGCCAAGAUAAUCCUCGCCACCGACCAGGACAUGGAGGAAAAAACGAGAGCGCUGAUGGCACUAAAGCAGAGGAGGAAAGACAAACUGCUGCAGUUCCUGACGUUUCGGAAAUACUCCAUUAAAGUUCACUGAGCUGGCAGAUGGAGAAGGUUUUGUGGCGGGACUGUUUGAGAGCUCCUAGCACGCUCAGCAUGCUCGGCUGCCCCGUGGGCCUGGGGAGCUGAGAGUCCAUGCAGGGGGCUUCAGCCCCACUGGAAACCAUGAGCCAACAGCAGCAUCACUGCGGGCAGCAGCAUUGGUGCCCAGGGCAGCACUGGUGUGACCAGCAGCACUGGUGUGACCAGCAGCAUCAGUGCCCAUGGCACAUUGGUGUGGACAGCAGCAUCAGUGCCCAUGGCAGCACUGGUGUGACCAGCAGCACUGGUGUGACCAGCAGGACCAGUGGCCACAGCAGCUCUGGUGUGACCAGCAGCUCUGGUGUGGCCAGCAGGACCAGUGCCCACACACAUCAGUGUGGACAGCAGCCUGGUGGCCAGAGGCUCUCAGAGAGAGAGAGCAGCUCCCAGCUGGAGGCAGAUUUGCUCCUCUGCGCAGCCAUGGGACUGAGCUGGGGGGAACCCCCACACCCAGGACCUCCUGAUGGACUUGGUGCUCACAGAUGUGAGCCGGGUGCUUUGCCUCUUCAGCCUGAGCCCCGCUGCUGGGGCUGGUGGGGGGGGCUCUGGAGCCCUCCCAGCUGCUGGUCAGGGUCAGAAUCUGUGAAAUGCCCCCAAAGGCAGCGUGUGGUGCAGCGAGUUCAGCCGUCCGGGAACGCAUUAACUCUGCACAGCUGUGCCUUUCCUUGCCAAGCUCUGUGUGUGCAGGAAAAGUCGUUUGCACAGAAGCAAUAAUAAUGACAGAUUUCCCUGAAUUUACUGUGAAGUUCCCUAAUAUUAUGUUCACUUACCACUAACACUAAAAAUCUAAAUAUAAUAACUACAGUUCUUCUCUGUGUAGGUGACAGCCACUAUUAGAUGAGUACUUACUUCAUGGCAAUAUUUUAUGACAAUGUUAAUAUUAUAUUGGCUAUAAUUUAUUGCAUACAGUGAUGUGAAAACUAAUAAAUUAUGAAGUAAAUCUAAAUUACCUUGUCUGAAAUGCUCAGUUCUCC
rnacentral:lncRNA from 1 species